AUUGCUUGUCUCACUACAGGAGAUUAUCUCAUGCAGACUGAUAAGAUCUGGCACAUGCUUUAUAUUUAGAAACUCAUAACAAGAGAUCAACCAAUGAAAAUAAAGUCAGGGAACUACUUCUGGGGGCUGUACAUGUACCACAAAAAGUAAUCCAUAGUUUUUUCUGUUUUAUAUCAGAGUAAUCUUCAAAAUUUAUGAGUAUGUGAUUGAAUGGAAUAAAAUCUUCCUCUAGUACAAAAAUAUUUUAACAUCAUAGAUGUAUCAUUACCUUCAUUAGCUGACUGUAAAUGGCACAUUUGCCCAAGAAUAUCAAAAUUUCAAAUCUACACAGGAAGUUCUUUGACAGAGAGCAGAAUAGAGUAAAUAUUUGGGAGAGUGUUUCCCUAAAUAUUUUACUAUGUGCAGCUUAUUUCAUCUUGGAAGUUAACAAUAAUUAACAGAAUGCACCAGGUAAAGCAUCAUAUGUGAAUAUAAAGUAUCAGCACACAUGAAUGAAUUGAGACAUGUGACCCAAUGUAUUGUGUUCAAAGGCUCCAUCCAACAGUUCAAAGACAUGUCAUAGCAGUGGAGCAAAUGGUGGCAAAUGAUGGCUUUGUGGUGGUUAGUGAAAAACUGAGGCAAUCUACAUUGGUGGUGGCAAACACUGACAGAAAAUUUCUGGACCAGCAGUGACAUUAAGUUGAAAAUAAUGACAUAUUUUACACUGUACUGAAGAUGUAAUUGCGAAAAUUAUUCAAGAAAUAAUAUUAUCUCAUUCAGUGAUUUGUCACUGAAUAAAUCAUUAUUUGGAGUUCAGAUGCGAAGGAAUUAUAUCACGAGGGCGCAACAUUACUGAAAGGAUUUUCUUCAAACUUUCACAAGUGAACAAUCUUGACGGGUAGAUACAACUACAAUUACAUUGCAUCCAAAAUCAGUGGCACAGAAACCGGUAGGGGACCAUGUAUUGCCUUGCAAUACUUCAGCACCUUGUUGUUUUAUAUGUGUAACCUGUAAAAUUAAUGAUUAUUGGUGUGUUUUAUAAAGUUAAGAAGUCCUAGAUGAAAUUUUUAGUUUUUAAUUUUAGCCACACCUAUGGACAUGCACUGCUUAGGGGAGCUCAUUUGUGAUCAUCCUUUGUCCAAGAAUGUGAAUCAAACCUACAACCUGCUGCACACAGCAUUUUCAUUUAGGAUAUAAUCAUAUGGGGUAUAACUUUUUGCUAUUUCAGGGCCUAUAGAACUAGGCUGGAAUAUUUUCCAGGUUAUACCAGACUCAUUCUCCAGCAUUCCCUGGAAAAUUUACCAUGGUAAAACCUGGAACAUUUUCCAGCCUAAUCCAGGCUAUGCUGGAAAAUGUUCCAGGCUUUUCCAGACUUUGGUUAAAAAACUGUCCGAAUACUCCAGGUUCAUGGAAAAACAGGAAUUUUAUUCCUGGCAGCCUGGAAGAUGUUCCAGAUUUUACCAUGGUAUAUUUUCCAGGGAUGCUGGUAUAUCAUGGUACAUAUUCCUGCCUUGGCUUUUUCAAAUUUUCCGCAUUGAUAAUUUGGUUAGGUUGGAAAAGGCUGGAAACUUAGUCCGAAUACUCCAGGCUUUUUUUUCUCAUGGAAUUCCAUGGUAAACCCUGGAACUAUUUCACCCGGGUAGGGGACAGGAGCAAAAGUCCAAGAGACAACGAUGGUUGGCUGCAACUGGGAUCAUCUACUCGGCAUGUCCAAUCAUCCCAAGAAGUUUCAACAUUCUGGGCCUAGUGGUUCUCAAGUUAUGGAUCGGAAAGAGUUUUCUAUUUUCAGGCACCUGAGACCUUGACCUUUGCUCAAGUGAUCCCAAAACAAAUAGGGGUCAUCCACUCUGUAAGUUCAACAACCCUAUAAAGUUUGAAGGUUCUGGGUCAAAUGGUUUUCAAGUUAUUGAUCAGAAACAGUUUUCUAAUUUCUGGCCCCUGUGACCUUAAACUUUGAUCAAGGGGCCCAAAAAUCAAUAGGGAUCAUCUCUUCUACAUAUCCAAUCAUCUUAUUAAGUUUCAACAUUCUGGGUCAAGUGGUUGUCAAGUUAAUGAUCAGAAACAGCUUUCCAUGUUCAGGCCACUGUGACCUUGACCUUUGAUCGAGUAACCCCAAAAAUAUAAGAGGUCAUCUACUCUGUAAACCCUAUCACCCCAUGAAGUUUGCAGGUUCUAGGUCAAAUGGUUCUCCAGUUAUUGAUAGACAAGUAUGCCCACGGGAAGAAUGUCCAGCUGCCAGCUGUCAAGUGUGACCUUGACCUUAGACCUAGGGAGCUGGUUCUUGCGCAUAACACUCCAUCUCAUAAUGGUGAACAUUUAUGCCAAGUUACAUCAAAAUCCCACCAUGCAUGAAAUAAAACUGCUCCAGGCUUCAAUUUGACCUUUGACCUCAAACUGUGACCUU